CGUAUGGUGCAAGCGUUAUCCGGAUUUACUGGGUGUAAAGGGAGCGUAGACGGUUGUGUAAGUCUGAUGUGAAAGCCCGGGGCUCAACCCCGGGACUGCAUUGGAAACUAUGUAACUAGAGUGUCGGAGAGGUAAGCGGAAUUCCUAGUGUAGCGGUGAAAUGCGUAGAUAUUAGGAGGAACACCAGUGGCGAAGGCGGCUUACUGGACGAUCACUGACGUUGAGGCUCGAAAGCGUGGGGAGCAAACAGGAUU
rnacentral:rRNA from 1 species